GGUAAAAUGGCUGAAUUAGGCGAUAAAUUGUAAAUUUAUUUAUGAUUAAAUAUCUUUUACU
rnacentral:tRNA from 1 species